CUUAAAAUCUACAUUCAGAACACAUAAAGAUAAUUCGAUGGUAGAAGGAAAGAUCCGUCUGGGAACUCAUGUUUUAAUAUUUCAUAAAAAAUUGAUACAUUUUCGAGCAUCUACAUCAAUGUUUCCCAUUUGUAUUGUUGCCUUUUAGACGAAAAAUGUGUUUAUUGUUCAACUUUUAUCUCAACCAGGCAGUAGUACCCCAAAGUCUCUCGGAGGACAUCAUUCUUCAAACCAGGGAACGUAGCACAUCAAAUUGCUGUCAAAAACUGGAAUUUUACUAGUUCAAAAAAAACAAGAGAUCUACCAGAGCCCCGCAUUCCAUCUUGUCACAUCAAAUCACCAUUCUAAUAUACACACCUAUAUAUAUUAUAUAUUUAUCAUGGCUUCUGGAAACGCCGUCCCCCGGGCACAGCUUCAUAUUAGGGCCAAGGGAAAUACUAAGUGUAAAGAUCACAAAGACAAUGACGUGAUUUUUUUAUGCCCAAAUUGUAAAACGCUAAUUUGCCAGACUUGCUCAAUUUCCACACAUAUAUCACAUAUCAAAAGUUUUGUUGAAAUUUCAAAAAUCAAUAAAGAAAACCAAAGUGUUAUUCAAUUUUUUUUUAAAUGAAACCGACAACGUUAAUAUUCCGAAAUUGAACCAGGAAAUUAUUUCAUCGCGAACAAAAAUGACUUCAUGUAAACCUAAAUACGAAAAUCUUCGCAAAAAAAUUAUUGACAAUAAUAACCAGUGUAAAUUAGAACUGGACAAGAUCACCGACGAUUACAUACAAUUUUGUGACAAGAUGGAGGUGGCGGCCAUGGACCUAAUUCAGACCCACAUCACAAACCUGGAGGAGAGGUUGAAUACUCUGAAGCAACUCUCAUCUGAGUAUAAACAGACUCUCCAGACAGGAACCGCUGUACUCGUGUACGACUCGGUAUCAGAAAUCCGGGAAAUGGAUCCAGACAUCCCACCGACACCU